rnacentral:rRNA from 1 species
AUUGAACGCUGGCGGCAGGCCUAACACAUGCAAGUCGAGCGGAGCGGCGGAUGGGUGAGUAAUGCCUAGGAAUCUGCCUGGUAGUGGGGGAUAACGUCCGGAAACGGGCGCUAAUACCGCAUACUAUCAGAUGAGCCUAGGUCGGAUUAGCUAGUUGGUGGGGUAAAGGCCUACCAAGGCGAUGAUCCGUAACUGGUCUGAGAGGAUGAUCAGUCACACUGGAACUGAGACACGGCCCAGACUCCUACGGGAGGCAGCAGUGGGGAAUAUUGGACAAUGGGCGAAAGCCUGACGAAGCAACGCCGCGUGAGUGAAGAAGGUUUUCGGAUCGUAAAGCUCUGUUGUAAGGGAGGCGGUAUCUAAACAAAAAGCCACGGCUAACUACGUGCCAGCAGCCGCGGUAAUAC